GGGGCUAAACCAUGCACCGAAGCUGCGGCAGCGACACUAUGUGUUGUUGGGUAGGGGAGCGUUCUGUAAGCCUGUGAAGGUGGCCUGUGAGGGUUGCUGGAGGUAUCAGAAGUGCGAAUGCUGACAUAAGUAACGAUAAAGCGGGUGAAAAGCCCGCUCGCCGGAAGACCAAGGGUUCCUGUCCAACGUUAAUCGGGGCAGGGUGAGUCGACCCCUAAGGCGAGGCCGAAAGGCGUAGUCGAUGGGAAACAGGUUAAUAUUCCUGUACUUGGUGUUACUGCGAAGGGGGGACGGAGAAGGCUAUGUUGGCCGGGCGACGGUUGUCCCGGUUUAAGCGUGUAGGCUGGUUUUCCAGGCAAAUCCGGAAAACCAAGGCUGAGGCGUGAUGACGAGGCACUACGGUGCUGAAGCGACAAAUGCCCUGCUUCCAGGAAAAGCCUCUAAGCAUCAGGUAACAUCAAAUCGUACCCCAAACCGACACAGGUGGUCAGGUAGAGAAUACCAAGGCGCUUGAGAGAACUCGGGUGAAGGAACUAGGCAAAAUGGUGCCGUAACUUCGGGAGAAGGCACGCUGAUAUGUAGGUGAAGCGACUUGCUCGUGGAGCUGAAAUCAGUCGAAGAUACCAGCUGGCUGCAACUGUUUAUUAAAAACACAGCACUGUGCAAACACGAAAGUGGACGUAUACGGUGUGACGCCUGCCCGGUGCCGGAAGGUUAAUUGAUGGGGUUAGCGGUAACGCGAAGCUCUUGAUCGAAGCCCCGGUAAACGGC
rnacentral:rRNA from 1 species